UACAGAGGUCCCGAGCGUUGUUCGGAUUCAUUGGGCGUAAAGGGUGCGUAGGCGGCGGGGCAAGUCUGAUGUGAAAUCCCGGGGCUCAACCCCGGAACUGCAUUGGGUACUGCCUUGCUCGAGUACUGGAGAGGGAACUGGAAUUUACGGUGUAGCAGUGAAAUGCGUAGAGAUCGUAAGGAAGGCCAGUGGCGAAGGCGAGUUCCUGAACAGUUACUGACGCUGAGGCACGAAGGCCAGGGGGAGCAAACGGG
rnacentral:rRNA from 1 species